GAGACGCCUCGCCAGGUGCCGGGGACGUCUCCAGACGUGCCAAUUCUUUCUGUUCGUGCCAGAGACGUCUCUGGGACAAACCGGAGACGUCUCGGCUGUCCCUGAUCUGUUUUCUUCAUCUCAAAAAUUCUUCAAUAAAUCCUUGAAAAAUAUGGAAACUUGCCUAGACAUUUCUUAACAAUAUUCUUAAUUAAACACCUGAA
rnacentral:lncRNA from 1 species